rnacentral:lncRNA from 1 species
UCACAGACCCGAUCACGUUUCUGCGAGUCAGUUCUAUCUGUCUUCUGCGAGUGACUUGGCCAGUGUCUUCGAGUGUCCUGGGCAAAUCACUGCCCAUAUCACUUCUGCCUGUUGCCUCCAGGUUUCUGCUUCAGCUUGAUCUGGGCAGAUCACUGGGCAAAUCACUGACCCAAUCACUUUUCUGUCAAUUUUCUGCACUUUUUCUCCAAUUUUCCAAUUUCUUCCUUUUCUGUAAAAACAAGAUAAAAACCAUAAAUUAAACUAAAAAAUGUGUAAAUAAGCAAUAGAAA